GGGGAAUUUUGGACAAUGGGCGCAAGCCUGAUCCAGCCAUGCCGCGUGAGUGAAGAAGGCCUUCGGGUUGUAAAGCUCUUUCGGCCGGGAAGAAAUCGCAUGGGUUAAUACCCUGCGCGGAUGACGGUACCGGCAUAAGAAGCACCGGCUAACUACGUGCCAGCAGCCGCGGUAAUACGUAGGGUGCGAGCGUUAAUCGGAAUUACUGGGCGUAAAGCGUGCGCAGGCGGUUUUGUAAGACAGGCGCGAAAUCCCCGGGCUCAACCUGGGAACUGCGCUUGUGACUGCAAGGCUAGAGUACGGCAGAGGGGGGUGGAAUUCCACGUGUAGCAGUGAAAUGCGUAGAGAUGUGGAGGAACACCAAUGGCGAAGGCAGCCCCCUGGGUCGAUACUGACGCUCAUGCACGAAAGCGUGGGUAGCAAAC
rnacentral:rRNA from 1 species